AGAGUUUGAUCCUGGCUCAGAACGAACGCUGGCGGCGUGCUUAACACAUGCAAGUCGAACAGAAAGUCCUUCGGGAUGAGUAGAGUGGCGCACGGGUGAGUAAUGCAUAGGAACGUACCAUAAGUGGGGAAUAACUAUGGGAAACUGUAGCUAAUACCGCAUGUGAUGUUAAUUAAAGUGGCCUCUACUUGUAAGCUACCGCUUAUCGAUCGGCCUAUGUCCCAUUAGCUAGUUGGCGGGUAACGGCCCACCAAGGCGACGAUGGGUAGCUGGUCUGAGAGGAUGAUCAGCCACACGAGACUGAGACACGGUCCAGACUCCUACGGGAGGCAGCAGUGGGGAAUUUUGCGCAAUGGCGAAAGCCUGACGCAGCAAUGCCGCGUGAGUGAUGAAGGCCUUCGGGUCGUAAAGCUCGUCAGAGGGGAAGAAACUCCCGUCGGUUAAUACCCGGCAGGCCUGACGGUACCCUCAAAGAAGCACCGGCUAACUCCGUGCCAGCAGCCGCGGUAAU
rnacentral:rRNA from 1 species